rnacentral:rRNA from 1 species
GAUGAACGCUGGCGGCGUGCUUAACACAUGCAAGUCGAACGGAAAGGCUCCUGCUUGCAGGGGUACUCGAGUGGCGAACGGGUGAGUAACACGUGGGUGAUCUGCCCUGCACUUCGGGAUAAGCCUGGGAAACUGGGUCUAAUACCGGAUAGGACCACAUUUUGGAUGGUGUGGUGGAAAGUUUUUCGGUGUGGGAUGAGCUCGCGGCCUACCAGCUUGUUGGUGGGGUAAUGGCCUACCAAGGCGUCGACGGGUAGCCGGCCUGAGAGGGUGUACGGCCACAUUGGGACUGAGAUACGGCCCAGACUCCUACGGGAGGCAGCAGUGGGGAAUAUUGCACAAUGGGCGCAAGCCUGAUGCAGCGACGCCGCGUGGGGGAUGACGGCCUUCGGGUUGUAAACUCCUUUCGCUAGGGACGAAGCGCAAGUGACGGUACCUGGAGAAGAAGCACCGGCUAACUACGUG